rnacentral:rRNA from 1 species
CCCUUAGAUGUUCUGGGCUGCACGCGCGCUACACUGACGCACGCAACAGGUGCCUGCUCCGAGAGGACUGGGUAAUCAUUUGAGUGUGCGUCGUGAUGGGGAUAGAAUAUUGUAAUUAUUACUCUUCAACGAGGAAUUCCUAGUAAGCGCCAGUCAGCAGCUUGCGCUGAUUACGUCCCUGCCCUUUGUACACACCGCCCGUCGCUCCUACCGAUGGGUGAUCCGGUGAAUGAUUCGGACUUCAGCGGCUCCCCUGGGGUGCGCCGGAGAAAGUUUUGUGAACCCUAUCACUUGGAGGAAGGAGAAGUCGUAACA